GACGGAGGCGGCAAGCGUUAUCCGGAAUUAUUGGGCGUAAAGCGUCCGUAGGUGGUUGGCCAAGUCUGCUGUCAAAGGGUGGGGCUUAACCUCAUAAAGGCAGUGGAAACUGGCGAGCUAGAGUGCGGUAGGGGUAGGGGGAAUUCCCAGUGUAGCGGUGAAAUGCGUAGAGAUUGGGAAGAACAUCGGUGGCCAAAGCGCCCUGCUGGGCCUGCACUGACACUGAGGGACGAAAGCUAGGGGAGCGAAAGGG
rnacentral:rRNA from 1 species